CUUGUGCCAGCCGCCGCGGUAAUACGAAGGGUGCAAGCGUUACUCGGAAUUACUGGGCGUAAAGCGUGCGUAGGUGGUUGUUUAAGUCUGUCGUGAAAGCCCUGGGCUCAACCUGGGAAUGGCGAUGGAAACUGGGCGACUAGAGUGUGGCAGAGGGUAGUGGAAUUCCGUGGUGUAGCACGUGAAAUGCGUAGAGAUCAGGAGGAACAUCCGUGGCGAAGGCGACUGCCUGGGCCAACACUGACACUGAGGCACGAAAGCGUGGGGAGCAAACAGGAUUAGAUA
rnacentral:rRNA from 1 species